CAUACUCCAAAAUAUCAAAAUAUUUUAUUGCUCAUCUCGAACAUGCUUCAGUAUUUUGGCUAUUGCAUCUUCCACAGACCUCGGAUUGAUGUAAAACCUUUUGCAUAUAAAACUAGACUUCUAGGAUUACAAAACUGGAUAAGGGCAUGUUAAAACUCUUCUUCCAUAAAAUACCGCUAAUUCUAAUUGACUUCAUGAUUUUAUCUUGAUAUUCAUAUUGACUCAAGUCUUCAGGACUUUAACUCUUGAAUCAAUAUUCAUGUUUAUGUCUUCAUCUUUAUCUUGCAUACUCCAAAUAUAUUUACUUCAUUGCAUCAAUAGCAAUUAAAAAGUACCUACUAAUAACAAUAAUACUAAACAAGAUUGUUAGUAAUAAUAAUAUUUUGCAUCAUCAAAAGCACAUAUGAAAUCUUGGGGUCAACAAUCUACCUCUUUUCUUAUGACAAAACAUUGAUGCAAUAAUCAAAAUAAUUCUCUCCUUUUUUAGAAUCAUUUAAAAAGGGUCAUUAACAUAAAGUGUAUAUAUUGUAAAUGCAAGAGAUUAGAUAAAUGCAUGAAAUUAAAAUAUACAUGUAUAUUUCUCAUUUCUUUUGCAACUUGAGGAUUUUCAUGAUCUGUUUACUUCCCCUUAAAAAGGUAAUUUAUGCAUAACUAAGAGCAUAUCUUCCCCUCAAACUAAUAAUUCCUUAGCACAAACUAAGAAUG
rnacentral:lncRNA from 1 species